GCCGGUGCAGUGGCUCCUCCCUGUAGUCCCAGCUACUCAGGAGGCUGAGAUGGGAGGAUCACUUGAGCCCAGGAGUUCUAGGCUGUAGUGCACUAUGCCGAUUAGGUGUCCGCACUAAGUUUAGCAUCAAUAUAGUGACCUCCCAGGAGCGGGGGACCACCAGGUUGCCUAAGGAGGGGUGAACCAGCCCAGGUCUGAAAUGGAGCAGGUCAAAACUCCCGUGCUGAUCAGGAAUCACGCCUGUGAAUAGCCACUGCACUCCUGCCUGGGCAACAUAGUGAGAUCCAGUCCCUA
ensembl:misc_RNA Metazoa_SRP Metazoan signal recognition particle RNA